rnacentral:rRNA from 1 species
UCUAUGGAGAGUUUGAUCCUGGCUCAGGACGAACGCUGGCGGCGUGCUUAACACAUGCAAGUCGAACGGGAUCUAUCCAGUAGCUUCGGCUACAGGGUAAAUCUAGUGGCGAACGGGUGAGUAACACGUGGGCAACCUACCCUGGAGACCGGAAUAACACGGGGAAACCCGUGCUAAUGCCGGAUAUUCUACCUUUCUCGCAUGGCAUCGGUAGAAAAAGGUUGAUUUAUCUUCUGCUUCGGGAUGGGCCCGCGCCCCAUUAGCUAGUCGGUGAGGUAACGGCUCACCGAGGCAACGAUGGGUAGCCGGCCUGAGAGGGCGAUCGGCCACACUGGGACUGAGAUACGGCCCAGACUCCUACGGGAGGCAGCAGUGGGGAAUAUUGCGCAAUGGGCGAAAGCCUGACGCAGCGACGCCGCGUGGGCGAAGAAGGCCUUCGGGUUGUAAAGCCCUGUCAGGGGGGAAGAAGGUGCUUGCACUGACGGUACCCCCAGAGGAAGCCCCGGCAAACUACGUGCCAGCAGCCGCGGUAAUACGUAGGGGGCGAGCGUUGUCCGGAAUCAUUGGGCGUAAAGAGCACGUAGGCGGCCUGUCAAGUCGGAUGUGAAAUCCCGUGGCUCAACUGCGGAACUGCAUUCGAAACUGGCAGGCUAGAGUCCAGUAGGGGAAAGUGGAAUUCCCAGUGUAGCGGUGAAAUGCGCAGAUAUUGGGAAGAACACCGGUGGCGAAGGCG